CAGUCGCCGCGGUAAUACGAGGGGUGCAAGCGUUAUUCGGAUUGAUUGGGUGUAAAGGGUGUGCAGACGGCUUAUUAAGUCACUUGUUAAAUUCUUCGGCCUAACUGAAGGUCUGCAAGUGAUACUGAUGAGCUAGAGGGUGGAAGAGAGAAGUGGAAUUCUCGGAGUAGCGGUAAAAUGCGUAGAUCUCGAGAGGAACACCAAUGGCGAAGGCAGCUUCUUGGUCCAUUCCUGACGUUCAUACACGAAAGCGUGGGGAGCGAACAGGAUUAGAUACCCGCGUAGUCCCUGUCUCUUAUAC
rnacentral:rRNA from 1 species